rnacentral:rRNA from 1 species
CAGUCGCCGCGGGAAUACGAAGGGGGCUAGCGUUGCUCGGAAUUACUGGGCGUAAAGGGCGCGUAGGCGGACAGUUCAGUCGGGGGUGAAAGCCCGGGGCUCAACCUCGGAAUUGCCUUCGAUACUGGCUGUCUUGAGUAUGAGAGAGGUGUGUGGAACUCCGAGUGUAGAGGUGAAAUUCGUAGAUAUUCGGAAGAACACAGUGGCGAAGGCGACACACUGGCUCAUUACUGACGCUGAGGCGCGAAAGCGUGGGGAGCGAACAGGAUUAGAUACCCCAGUAGUCCCUGUCUCUUAUACA